rnacentral:rRNA from 1 species
UACGUAGGCAGCGAGCGUUGUUCGGAGUUACUGGGCGUAAAGGGUGUGUAGGCGGUUGUUUAAGUUUGGUGUGAAAUCUCCCGGCUCAACUGGGAGGGUGCGCCGAAUACUGAAUGACUUGGAGUGCGGGAGAGGUGAGUGGAAUUCCUGGUGUAGCGGUGAAAUGCGUAGAUAUCAGGAGGAACACCGGUGGUGUAGACGGCUCACUGGACCGUAACUGACGCUGAGACACAAAAGCGUGGGUAGCAAACAGG